rnacentral:rRNA from 1 species
AUUGAACGCUAGCGGGAUGCCUCACACAUGCAAGUCGAACGGAGUGGCGAACGGGUGAGUAAUGUAUCGGAACGUGCCCAGUAGCGGGGGAUAACUACACGUAAGCGUAGCUAAUACCGCAUACUAUUGGAGCGGCCGAUAGCGGAUUAGCUAGUUGGUGGGGUAACGGCUCACAAAGGCGACGAUCCCUAGCCGGUUUGAGAGGACGACCAGCCACACUGGGACUGAGACACGGUCCAGACUCCGACGGGAGGCAGCAGUGGGGAAUUUUGGACAAUGGGGGAAACCCUGAUCCAGCCAUCCCGCGUGUGUGAUGAAGGCCUUCGGGUGGUAAAGCACUUUUGGCAGGAAAGCGGUACCUGCAGAAUAAGCACCGGCUAACUACGUGCCAGCCGCCGCGGUAAUAC